rnacentral:rRNA from 1 species
UACGUAGGGUGCGAGCGUUGUCCGGAAUUAUUGGGCGUAAGGAGCUCGUAGGCGGUUCGUCGCGUCGAAUGUGAAAACCCGGGGCUCAACUCCGGGCCUGCAUUCGAUACGGGCGGACUAGAGUUCGGUAGGGGAGACUGGAAUUCCUGGUGUAGCGGUGAAAUGCGCAGAUAUCAGGAGGAACACCGGUGGCGAAGGCGGGUCUCUGGGCCGAUACUGACGCUGAGGAGCGAAAGCGUGGGGAGCGAACAGG